GACGAACGCUGGCGGCGUGCCUAACACAUGCAAGUCGAGCGGGAUCCAUCCAGUAGCAAUACUGGGGAAGAUCUAGCGGCGAACGGGUGAGUAACACGUGAGAAACCUGCCCCGAAGUCUGGGAUAACCCGAGGAAACUCGAGCUAAUACCGGAUGCCCUCCUCUGGUCGCAUGGCCGGUGGAGGAAAGAUUCAUCGCUUCGGGAGGGUCUCGCGGCCUAUCAGCUAGUUGGUGGGGUAAUGGCCCACCAAGGCGUCGACGGGUAGCUGGUCUGAGAGGACGAUCAGCCACACUGGGACUGAGACACGGCCCAGACUCCUACGGGAGGCAGCAGUGGGGAAUCUUGCGCAAUGGGCGAAAGCCUGACGCAGCAACGCCGCGUGCGGGAUGAAGGCCUUCGGGUUGUAAACCGCUUUCAGGAGGGACGAAAUUGACGGUACCUCCAGAAGAAGCCCCGGCCAACUACGUGCCAGCAGCCGCGGUAACACGUAGGGGGCAAGCGUUGUCCGGAUUUAUUGGGCGUAAAGAGCUCGUAGGCGGCUUAGUAAGUCGGGUGUGAAACCUCCAGGCUCAACCUGGAGACGCCACCCGAUACUGCUAUAGCUAGAGUCCGGUAGGGGAGCGUGGAAUUCCUGGUGUAGCGGUGAAAUGCGCAGAUAUCAGGAGGAACACCAGCGGCGA
rnacentral:rRNA from 1 species